ACGGCCACACCUAGGCGAAAACACCAGUUCCCGUCCGAUCACUGCAGUUAAGCGUCUGAGGGUCUCGUUAGUACUAUGGUUGGAGACAACAUGGGAAUCCGGGAUGCUGUAGACU
rnacentral:rRNA from 1 species